AGCAGCCGCGGUAAUUCCAGCUCCAAUAGCGUAUAUUAAAGUUGUUGCAGUUAAAAAGCUCGUAGUUGAAUCUCGGGAUCAAUAUAUCGGUCGUGCCUUCGGUACGUACUGGUAUCAUUGGUUUCUCCUUUCUGACGAACCAUGAUGUCAUUAAUUUGGUGUUAUGGGGGAGUUAGGACUGUUACUUUGAAAAAAAUUAGAGUGUUUAAAGCAGGCUUUAGCUUGAAUACAUUAGCAUGGAAUAAUGAAAUAGGACGUUCGAACCUAUUUUUGUUGGUUUCUAGGAUCAACGUAAUGAUUAAUAGGGAUAGUUGGGGGGCAUUAGUAUUCAAUUGUCAGAGGUGAAAUUCUUGGAUUUAUUGAAGACUAACUACUGCGAAAGCAUUUUGCCAAGGAUGUUUUCAUUAAUCAAGAACGAAAGUUAGGGGAUCGAAGACGAUCAGAUACCGUCGUAGUCUUAACCAUAAACUAUGCCGACUAGGGAUCGGAUGAUGUUAAUUUUUUUAAUGACUCAUUCGGC
rnacentral:misc_RNA from 1 species